ensembl:lncRNA
CAAGGUUGGAGGGUUUUGGAGGGUUUUAGGGUUUCAGGGUUUUGGAGGGUUUUAGGGUCAGAGGGUUGGAGGGUUUUGGAGAGUUUUAAGGUUGGGGGGUUUUAGGGUUGGAGGGAUUUGGAGGGUUUAGGGGUUUUGGAGGGUUUUAGGGUCAGAAGGUUGGAGGGUUUUGGAGGGUUUUAGGGUCAGAAGGUUGGAGGGUUUUGGAGGGUUUUAGGGUCAGAAGGUUGGAGGGUUUUGGAGGGGUUUUAGGGUUGGAGGGUUUUAGGGUUUUAUGGCUGGAGGGUUUUGGAGUUACUGUUACCACACCGACGUUCCAAUAACAGCAUGUCUUGACAUCUUUUAAUCCUCUUCCACCACAGCAACUUGGCCGUGAUUACAUUAGUAAGAUUUAACGUUGUGGAACAUCUACGUAACAGGUUAUUUCCUGUUCUCACUUACAUUAUGGCAGCUUUAAACAGUUUUUCCCUCACCAGCCUCUCUUCUUUUAUUGAGCUGAAAGUUACCUCUUUUUACAAAAAAAAAUCACAUGAUUGAGCCUUGAACAACACUAUGGUAUAAAUUUACUUGUACCACAGUGGUGUUGAAUUCUCGAAUCUGAUUGGUGUUGAGGUGUUUCUUUCCUGUAACAGCAGCCUUGACUGUAGUACAGCUACCAAUCACAGGUUUAUAUUAAAGCUCUCGUUCUAAUACCUUAUCGUUUCGUACUUACACAGAGAUCGUAUCUGUAUCUGUUUUGAAAAGCAUGUCGUCGUUGACAUGGUGAGGUUCUCUGUUAGGAGAUGGUUGUUUAACAUUUAAGGA